GACGAACGCUGGCGGCGUGCUUAACACAUGCCAGUCGAACGGAAAGGCCCCAUUGGCGUGCUUCUAGUGGCGGACGGGGGCGUAACACUGGAGUAACCUGCGCUUUCUUCCGUUACGAGUUCAGGAACCUGGGGCUACUACCGCUUAUACAUCCUAGCUGCUUGGUGUGGGUUCGAAAGCUUUUGCGGGUUUGGACGGAUUCGCGGCCUAUUAGCUUGUUGGUGGGUUAGUGGCUUACCAGGGCUGUGACGGGUAGCCGGCCUGUGAGAGCGACCGGCGACACUGGGACUGAGGGACGGCCCAGACUCCGAAGGGAGGAAGCAGGGGGGAAUAUUGAACAAGGGGCGGAAGCCUGAUGAAGAAACGCCGCGUGCGGGAUGACGGCCUUCGGGUUGUAAACCGCCUUCAGCAGGGGCGAAGCUUGUGGUGACGGUACCUGAAGAAGAAGCACCGGCUAACUACGUG
rnacentral:rRNA from 1 species